rnacentral:rRNA from 1 species
GGAGUUAGCCGGUGCUUCUUCUGUGAGUGAUGUCCUUCCUGCCGGCUAUUAACCCGCAGGCCUUCUUCCUCACUGAAAGUGCUUUACAACCCGAAGGCCUUCUUCACACACGCGGCAUGGCUGGAUCAGGGUUGCCCCCAUUGUCCAAUAUUCCCCACUGCUGCCUCCCGUAGGAGUCUGGGCCGUGUCUCAGUCCCAGUGUGGCUGAUCAUCCUCUCAGACCAGCUACGGAUCGUCGCCUUGGUGAGCCGUUACCUCACCAACCAGCUAAUCCGACAUAGGCUCAUCCGAUAGCGCGAGGCCCGAAGGUCCCCCGCUUUCCCCCGUAGGGCGUAUGCGGUAUUAGCCUGGGUUUCCCCCAGGUUAUCCCCCACUACCCGGGCAGAUUCCUAUGCAUUACUCACCCGUCCGCCGCUCGCCACCAGGGAGCAAGCCUCCCGUCGCUGCCGCUCGACUUGCAUGUGUUAGGCCUGCCGCCAGCGUUCAUCUGAGCCAGAUCGAACCCUGA